CAACACGACUGUUACAAAUCAGAGAUAUAUCCAGGUCCUCGAAAGUAGGACCACGUUCGUCGAAACGUUUAAAUCCGCGGAAUGCUGAUUAGUUUUGAAAAAUUUUAAGUUUGAUCAUUGACAAAACUAAUAAGAAAAAUCAUAAAUCCAAUCAUAAAAGGAAAGAAGAAAAAAUCUUAAUCGAUCGGAAAUAAGCUUUAGAUAAUCAAAAACAAACCGAUGAUUUUUACCAUCCAUUUUUGUAUUUUUUCAAAUGAAAGAAAGAUCGAUUCCAUGUAUUAAAUAAAAUCAGCUUCCGCGGAGAACGCUUCGGCGCGAGUCAAUAUUCUCACUUCGCUGCCAAUGCGAUCCGCAACCCCAUUUUACGUGCGGCAUUCGUGCGGCGUACGUGCGGCCGUCGUUUUGUUUAACGAAUCAAGCAAAAAAAGAGAGUUGGAAAAAGGGAAGACCGCGCGAGCAACGAAGGGGGUUUGUCUCGAAAAUAAAAAGGGCCAGGAAAGGCUCUUUGGAAUGCGAAGGAGCACGAUGCAGUCUGAUGAUGCACUGCCAGUUUCGAUCGAGAAGCGAUAAUAUAAUAAUAAUAAUACUAAUAAUAAUAACAAUAAUAAUAAUAAUAACAGUAAUGAUGAUGAUAAUAAUAAUAAUACUAACAACCAUACAAGUCUCAAUCAAUUUUACAAAAACUAUAGUUCCGUGAUUGCAAGGAUGCUUGGAAUUUUGAGGCUGGCUGUGUCACGAGUCGAGGGUCGUGCACUAGAAACGAUGCACGUUACGUUCUCUCUCGCGAAAAUUAGGUCGACAACGAGACGGCGGCGAAGUGGGAACCAUGUUUCUUAGUUUUUUUUCAUUCUUUCUUUUUUUUUUUGUGGUUUUUUAUUGCUUGCUAGGUUUUGAAUUACGGGAUGAAAAAGAUGCUAAUUUGACGCGAGGCAGGUUGUUUGUGAGAGAGUGAAAGAGAUAGAUAGAGAGGUAGAUAGAGAGAGAGAGAGAGAAAGAGAGAGAGAGAAAGAGAGAGAAAGAAAAAGACGGAAUGAGAUAGGAGUGAUGAUUCGUGAAGAUUUUGUGAUAGAAGCAUGCAGAAAUAUAUAUAUAUAUAUAUAUAUAUAUAUAUAUAUAUAUAUAUAUAUUGUAUAUAUAUAUGUAUACAUUAUAGUAUAUAUGUAUAUUAUAUAUAUCAUGUAUAAGAUACGUAAUUAGAGGCGUGAGAAAAAGAUUAUAUAUAUAUAUUGUAUAUAUAUAUUGUAUAUAUUUUUAGAAGUGUCAAGGGUUAAAGGGAAAGGAGGUGGUAAAUGGAUUUUAUCUGUAAUUUUAUAAGACGGAAUAUGUCAAAGCUCAAUAAUUUCAAGCGAUUCUGUGUGGUGGUGAUUAUAAUAAUGAAAAUCGAUAUUAGAGGUAGAGUGAAAUAGAUACAAUAUAUAUAGAUAUAUAUUUAUAUGCGCAUAUGCAUAUAUGCAUACGGUUUGUUACGCGAUAUCGCUCAAAGGGGAAGCGUUAUAAUAACGAGCUUUUCUCGAUGCUUUUCAACGUCGUCGUCAGCAUCGUCGUCAGCGUCGAUGUAAGUAAGAUAUAAGGCGAAAUUUGCAACGUACAAUUUCCCUUUGGUCUGUUUGUCUGUGUAUAUGUAAAAGUAAGAGAACAUACUCACGUAACAAAUCGUAUAUAUGUCCCUCUUUAAUGUAUAAAUAAAUAUAUAGAAGUAGAUGCGUACUAUAUGUUUGAUUCAUAUAUUUACUUAUACAUGUAUAUAUAUAUUUAUAUAUAUAUGUAUAUAUAUAUAUAUAUAUAUAUAUAUAAAAUUAUCUGUUCCUAAGGGAUUGCAUAUAGGGUCAUUGUCGUUCUUGGAGGAUUACACUUCCCCCACGAAUCGAUGUAACGCGAAUUUCGUUCUACUAUCUCUUAUCUAUCUCAAUUAUUUUUUUAUUUUCAUGGUGCUUAUUUUCACCGUGCUGUCAGUCGGAGGACCUGAGGAUCAAACAUUGCUGGGGAGCUGAUCCUCCAAAUACGAGCACAGCAAGGUGGCAGGCACAGUCGUCUCACUACUAUAAUAAUCUCAUCGGAUCGGAUCGAAGAAGACAGACACAAGGUAUUUGGUAUUGGUGGUAUUUGGUUGUGGUAUAUAUCAGUGGUAGUGGUGAUAUUGGUAAUGGUAUAGGGCUAAGGGUUGGUAGUUGGUACAUCGUAGACAGGUGAUAAACAGACGCAGACAAGGGACGAAGAGGUUGGGACGGUCAUUUCAGGUGAUGGUCCUUCGUCUUAAGCGAUACGGUACCGACGUAAUACUCAGAACGAUGAUUUUUUUUUAUCCCGACUUGUAAAGACGAACAAAUUGUGUGUGUAUGUUCGUGCGAAUGAGUGUGUCUGUGUGUGUAUGUGUAUGUGUGUGUAUAUAUGUAUGUUUAUAUAUGUGAAUGCUUGUUUCAUAUAUAUAAAUUUUUUUAUCUUUUUUCUUUCUUUCUGUUUUGUUUCUCUGUCUGUUUGAUUUUUUCAUUUUUAUUCAUUGAGCACACGGACAAAACGGAAAGUGGCAUACACAUUCGUGAUAAUAAUUAUCAUCAACUCUGUGUUCGUAUAUAUAUACACACAUAUAUAUAUAUAUAUAUAUAAAUAUAUGUAUAUAAAUAUAUAUAUUAAAGGAACAAAGUUAACGAAAAACAAAACGAAAGAUAGUCGUUUAUACGCAAGAGGCGCGCAAUAAAGUCAGCUUAUGUGUUGUGUGUAAUUAUAAUUAAUGCUAAAAAAAGGACGUUUACUAUUAGACAAGUUUGACAGGGUCAUACAUAAAAGUGCAAGUCUGGCAACACAUACAACACAAGACCAGGUUCGAUAAAGUACACGAUACCGCAACAUACCAUUAUAUACGUAUAAUAUAUAUUAUGGCUAACGCACUAAGGAUGGUGGGAUGAAAAAAGGGGGUAGAACAAGAGAAAAGACAAGACAUAACCAAAUAAAGAAAAGACGGACUAUUUCAGGUAAGGGUAGCGAAAGGGGGUCGGAGAUCAGGUGGAAGACAACAAUCUGACGACAUAUCACAGAUAACACAUUGACAAUUCGUACGGCUUUUUUAAUACAUAAUGAGUAUAGAAAGGUAUGAAGAAAGAAAUAGAAAGAGAGAGAGAAAGAGAGAGAGAGAGAGAGAAAGAGAGAGA